rnacentral:rRNA from 1 species
UACAGAGGGGGCAAGCGUUAUUCGGAAUUAUUGGGCGUAAAGGGCGCGUAGGCGGCCUGGCAAGUGGAAGGUGAAAUCCCUCGGCUUAACCGAGGAACUGCCUUCCAAACUGCUUGGCUUGAGUCCGGGAGAGGUGAGUGGAAUUCCCAGUGUAGCGGUGAAAUGCGUAGAUAUUGGGAGGAACACCGGUGGCGAAGGCGGCCAUCUGGCACACAACUGACGCUGUUGCACGAAAGCGUGGGGAGCAAACAGG